rnacentral:rRNA from 1 species
UACGUAGGGACCAAGCGUUGUUCGGAUUUACUGGGCGUAAAGGGCGCGUAGGCGGCAAUUCAAGUCAGCUGUGAAAUCUCUGGGCUUAACCCAGAACGGCCAGCUGAUACUGCUUUGCUAGAGUGCAGAAGGGGCAAUCGGAAUUCUUGGUGUAGCGGUGAAAUGCGUAGAUAUCAAGAGGAACACCUGAGGUGAAGACGGGUUGCUGGGCUGACACUGACGCUGGAGGCGCGAAAGCGUGGGGAGCGAACCGG